GAUGAACGCUGACAGAAUGCUUAACACAUGCAAGUCUACUUGAAUUUGGGUUUUUAACUUAGGUUUGGGUGGCGGACGGGUGAGUAACGCGUAAAGAACUUGCCUCACAGCUAGGGACAACAUUUGGAAACGAAUGCUAAUACCUAAUAUUAUGAUAAUAGGGCAUCCUAUAAUUAUGAAAGCUAUAAGCGCUGUGAGAGAGCUUUGCGUCCCAUUAGCUAGUUGGAGAGGUAACGGCUCACCAAGGCGAUGAUGGGUAGCCGGCCUGAGAGGGUGAUCGGCCACAAGGGGACUGAGACACGGCCCUUACUCCUACGGGAGGCAGCAGUGGGGAAUAUUGGACAAUGGACCAAGAGUCUGAUCCAGCAAUUCUGUGUGCACGAUGAAGUUUUUCGGAAUGUAAAGUGCUUUCAGUUGGGAAGAAAUAAAUGACGGUACCAACAGAAGAAGUGACGGCUAAAUACGUGCCAGCAGCCGCGGUAAUACGUAUGUCACGAGCGUUAUCCGGAUUUAUUGGGCGUAAAGCGCGUCUAGGUGGUUAUGUAAGUCUGAUGUGAAAAUGCAGGGCUCAACUCUGUAUUGCGUUGGAAACUGUAUAACUAGAGUACUGGAGAGGUAAGCGGAACUACAAGUGUAGAGGUGAAAUUCGUAGAUAUUUGUAGGAAUGCCGAUGGGGAAGCCAGCUUACUGGACAGAUACUGACGCUGAAGCGCGAAAGCGUGGGUAGCAAACAGG
rnacentral:rRNA from 1 species